UACAGAGGUCCCAAGCGUUGUUCGGAUUCAUUGGGCGUAAAGGGUGCGUAGGCGGCGCGGUAAGUCGGGUGUGAAAUCUCGGAGCUUAACUCCGAAACUGCAUUCGAUACUGCCGUGCUUGAGGACUGGAGAGGAGACUGGAAUUUACGGUGUAGCGGUGAAAUGCGUAGAUAUCGUAAGGAAGACCAGUGGCGAAGGCGGGUCUCUGGACAGUUUCUGACGCUGAGGCACGAAGGCCAGGGGAGCAAACGGG
rnacentral:rRNA from 1 species